rnacentral:rRNA from 1 species
GUGAGGAAUUUUGCGCAAUGGGGGCAACCCUGACGCAGCGACGCCGCGUGGAGGACGAAGUCUUUCGGGAUGUAAACUCCUGUCAGUGGGGACGAUAAUGACGGUACCCACAGAGGAAGCACCGGCUAACUCCGUGCCAGCAGCCGCGGUAAGACGGAGGGUGCAAGCGUUGUUCGGAAUUACUGGGCGUAAGGCGUAUGUAGGCGGCAAGUUAAGUUCAAUGUUAAAGCCCACGGCUCAACCGAGGAGAUGCAUUGAAUAAUGGCUAGCUAGAGGGUGUUAGGGGAAGACGGAAUUCCCAGUGUAGCGGUGAAAUGCGUAGAUAUUGGGAGGAACAUCGGUAGCGAAAGCGGUCUUCUGGGACAUACCUGACGCUGAGGUACGAAAGCGUGGGGAGCAAACGGGAUUAGAUACCCCAGUAGUCC